UACAGAGGUCUCAAGCGUUGUUCGGAUUCAUUGGGCGUAAAGGGUGCGUAGGCGGCGUGGUAAGUCGGGUGUGAAAUCUCGGAGCUUAACUCCGAAACUGCAUUCGAUACUGCCGUGCUUGAGGACUGGAGAGGAGACUGGAAUUCCUGGUGUAGCGGUGAAAUGCGCAGAUAUCAGGAGGAACACCGGUGGCGAAGGCGGGUCUCUGGGCCGUAACUGACGCUGAGGAGCGAAAAGCGUGGGGGAGCGAACAGG
rnacentral:rRNA from 1 species